CCUACGGGCGGCAGCAGUGAGGAAUAUUGGUCAAUGGACGAGAGUCUGAACCAGCCAAGUAGCGUGAAGGAUGACUGCCCUAUGGGUUGUAAACUUCUUUUAUAUGGGAAUAAAACGUUCCACGUGUGGGAUUUUGUAUGUACCAUAUGAAUAAGGAUCGGCGAACUCCGUGCCAGCAGCCGCGGUAAUACGGAGGAUCCGAGCGUUAUCCGGAUUUAUUGGGUUUAAAGGGAGCGUAGGUGGAUUGGUAAGACAGUUGUGAAAGUUUGCGGCUCAACCGUAAAAUUGCAGUUGAAACUGGCAGUCUUGAGUACAGUAGAGGUGGGCGGAAUUCGUGGUGUAGCGGUGAAAUGCUUAGAUAUCACGAAGAACUCCGAGUGCGAAGGCAGUUCACUGGACUGCAACUGACACUGAGGCUCGAAAGUGUGGGUAUCAAACAGGAUUAGAUACCCUAGUAGUC
rnacentral:rRNA from 1 species